rfam:Aedes albopictus isolate Foshan contig90120, whole genome shotgun sequence.
UGCCCAGCAACUCCUAUCCCUACCUACACGCGGUACCGGCCGGAAACUAUGAGCAACCUUAGGGAAGAUCGGGUAACCAACCCCGGUGGGAACUUUGGUCGUAGGCUGACAGGGAAGG